rnacentral:rRNA from 1 species
AACGAACGCUGGCGGCAUGCCUAACACAUGCAAUUCGAACGAGACCUUCGGGUCUAGUGGCGCACGGGUGCGUAACGCGUGGGAACCUGCCCUUAGGUUCGGAAUAACUCCCCGAAAGGGGUUCUAAUACCGGAUAAUGUCUUCGGACCAAAGAUUUAUCGCCUUUGGAUGGGCCCGCGUUGGAUUAGCUAGUUGGUAGGGUAAAAGCCUACCAAGGCGACGAUCCAUAGCUGGUCUGAGAGGAUGAUCAGCCACACUGGGACUGAGACACGGCCCAGACUCCUACGGGAGGCAGCAGUGGGGAAUAUUGGACAAUGGGCGAAAGCCUGAUCCAGCAAUGCCGCGUGAGUGAUGAAGGCCUUAGGGUUGUAAAGCUCUUUUACCCGGGAUGAUAAUGACAGUACCGGGAGAAUAAGCUCCGGCUAACUCCGUG